rnacentral:sRNA from 1 species
AAAUAACUUUGUGAUAUUGUUUGAAAGGGAAAAUAAAAAUAUUCCCAUGAGAAAUUAGAAGAUAGUGAUCAGAUCGGUGUAGGUAGGACGUCUCUGUCAGUGUAGAUAGAGGGCAAAGCGGGAGGGCACUGGUUCUAGCUUUGAAAAUUUAAUCCGGAUUAGUCCAACAUCUACAUUACAAAAGAGGGCCCAGUUCUGAUUGAAAGACCUAGCAUAGUGAAGAGGGGGGACUCAUUAGCUAUGGUCGAUGUCAUGUUGAUAGAGAGAUAGGUGCAGGCAAUUAAUGAUCGACCUUCCUGGAAGGAGGAACAAUACAUGAAAAGUUUAUGAAUUCCGCACUGGAGUUUGGGAAAUGGAAUGAGAAUAAAUACUCAUGGAAAGGGCCAAAGCCUGAACAAUCAAUCAAAAUUAAUUGAAAGUUAUUUUUUAUUUCCCUUGUUUGGCAAAUGUCAUAAAUUUAUUCUGUAGGAAACUACAUUAUUUGUAUUCCUUUUGUGCUUGUUGGUCAUUGUUUACCUAAUAAGGAAAUGACCACCUAGUAUUCCUUAUUUCUUUGCGCAUUGAGAAUGACCGGACCCUUCUUGGAUACAGAAGAUGGUGCCUUUUGUAUCAAAGGUCUAAGCAGACAAAAAGUCAUCCUUUUAAACUUGACAGUCUUAUUCCAAAUUAGGAGAUUCUGCAGGGGACAAAUAAAUAAUAUUAUUAGCUGCAGGUAAAGAUAGCAAACCAUGACAUGAAUCAGACAGUGAGUAUUGAUGAGACGUCCAAUCAGAUGGUGGCGUGACAAUGACAGAAAUACAGAGAUUUGUCCACUGUUUCUGCAGCCAGUGACAGUGAUGAGGGAUGAGUCACCUAUAACAAAUACUGAAUUGUUUCAAGGACCUGCAUUGACAACCAUUUAUCUUUUUUUCAUGGGUAGUCCUAGGGAUAAAGAAAAUGUCACCAAAGUUGUAUUAAAAUAUUAAUAAACUAUGAACACUUAAUUGUGGGGGAAAAAAGUCAUUUGGAAAGCUUUAAAGAUAUUAAUGAUUUGCUUGAGAUGAAGUUAUUUGGUAAUAAAAUGCAAAUAAAGACAAUUUAUUUUGCUGC